AUUGAACGCUGGCGGCAUGCCUUACACAUGCAAGUCGAACGGCAGCACGGGAGUAAUCCUGGUGGCGAGUGGCGAACGGGUGAGUAAUGUAUCGGAACGUGCCCAAUCGUGGGGGAUAACGCAGCGAAAGCUGUGCUAAUACCGCAUACGAUCUAUGGAUGAAAGCGGGGGAUCGUAAGACCUCGCGCGAUUGGAGCGGCCGAUAUCAGAUUAGGUAGUUGGUGGGUAAAGGCCUACCAAGCCGACGAUCUGUAGCUGGUCUGAGAGGACGACAAGCCACACUGGGGCUGGGACACGGCCCAGACUCCUACGGGAGGCAGCAGUGGGGAAUUUUGGACAAUGGGCGCAAGCCUGAUCCAGCCAUGCCGCGUGCGGGAAGAAGGCCUUCGGGUUGUAAACCGCUUUUGUCAGGGAAGAAAUCCUUUGGGUUAAUACCUCGGGGGGAUGACGGUACCUGAAGAAUAAGCACCGGCUAACUACGUGCCAGCCGCCGCAGUAA
rnacentral:rRNA from 1 species